rnacentral:rRNA from 1 species
AGGGUGUAAACGCUGCAGACUUGGUGUUGGAAGUCCUUUGGGGGCAUUCAGUGUCGGAGAGAAGUUGUUAAGUCUGCUACUUGGGGAGUACGUCCGCAAGGAUGAAACUUAAAGGAAUUGGCGGGGGAGCACCGCAACGGGAGGAGCGUGCGGUUUAAUUGGAUUCAACACCGUAAAACUCACCAGGGAAGACUGUUACAUGAAAGCCGAGAUGAAGACUCUGCUAGAUUUUCAGAGAGGUGGUGCAUGGCGUCAGUGACU